rnacentral:rRNA from 1 species
AUUGAACGCUGGCGGCAUGCCUUACACAUGCAAGUCGAACGGUAACAGAUCUUCGGAUGCUGACGAGUGGCGAACGGGUGAGUAAUACAUCGGAACGUGCCUAGUAGUGGGGGAUAACUACUCGAAAGAGUGGCUAAUACCGCAUGAGAUCUACGGAUGAAAGCAGGGGAUCGCAAGACCUUGUGCUACUAGAGCGGCCGAUGGCGGAUUAGGUAGGUGGUGGGAUAAAAGCUUACCAAGCCGACGAUCUGUAGCUGGUCUGAGAGGACGAUCAGCCACACUGGGACUGAGACACGGCCCAGACUCCUACGGGAGGCAGCAGUGGGGAAUUUUGGACAAUGGGCGCAAGCCUGAUCCAGCAAUGCCGCGUGCAGGAUGAAGGCCUUCGGGUUGUAAACUGCUUUUGUACGGAACGAAAAGCCCUGGGUUAAUACCCUGGGGUCAUGACGGUACCGUAAGAAUAAGCACCGGCUAACUACGUGCCAGCAGCCGCAGUAAUAC